rnacentral:sRNA from 1 species
GCCGGCACAUCACCGGCAAGGCAUCGCACACACGUGCGAGGUGCUUGUACCCAUGUUGCUCGAAGGAGAAUGUGGCUAUGAGAA